GGGGAGGGUUCGAGGUGAGUAUGUCUGGGAACUGCCUGAUGGAGGGGGAUAACUACUGGAAACGGUAGCUAAUACCGCAUAACGUCGCAAGACCAAAGAGGGGGACCUUCGGGCCUCUUGCCAUCGGAUGUGCCCAGAUGGGAUUAGCUAGUAGGUGGGGUAACGGCUCACCUAGGCGACGAUCCCUAGCUGGUCUGAAAGGAUGACCAGCCACACUGGAACUGAGACACGGUCCAGACUCCUACGGGAGGCAGCAGUGGGGAAUAUUGCACAAUGGGCGCAAGCCUGAUGCAGCCAUGCCGCGUGUAUGAAGAAGGCCUUCGGGUUGUAAAGUACUUUCAGCGGGGAGGAAGGGAGUAAAGUUAAUACCUUUGCUCAUUGACGUUACCCGCAGAAGAAGCACCGGCUAACUCCGUGCCAGCAGCCGCGGUUAUACGGAGGGUGUAAGCGUUAAUCGGAAUUAUUGGGCGAUAAGACCACGCAUGCGGUUUGUUAAGUCAAAUGUGAAAUCCCUUUUCCU
rnacentral:rRNA from 1 species